rnacentral:rRNA from 1 species
UACGUAGGUGACCAGCGUUGUCCGGAUUUACUGGGCGUAAAGAGCGCGCAGGCGGUCGUUCAAGUCGAGUGUGAAAGCCCCCGGCUCAACUGGGGAGGGUCACUCGAUACUGAUCGACUCGAAGGCAGGAGAGGGAAGCGGAAUUCCCGGUGUAGUGGUGAAAUGCGUAGAUAUCGGGAGGAACACCAGUGGCGAAGGCGGCGAUCUGGCCCAACAUUGACACUGAGACCCGAAAGCGUGGGGAUCAAACAGG